AGAUGUCUGCAAGGCUGCAAACAGCUCCAGCUGCCUUUGCACCCCAUGCAGUGGUACCAGGAGAAAAUGCAUGCACCAGCCAUGCUGUUAUUCAUUCAUUCACUCAUUUGCUUGUAUGGCUGCAGUGCUGAUCACAAGCAAGCAUUCCCCAAGACCCAGUUUGAAGGCUGGUUACGAUUGCUGAGAUGAGAUGACAGAUGGGGAGCUCCACUGCAGCUUGCAAGUCAAGUUGUCACAAGGCAGAAGAGCAGAGAAUGGAGGUGCCCAACUGACAGACCAACAGAUGACAGCCAUCUUCUCCAGAGAUGAUAGAAAGCACACUGAACACUGCGGAGCCGCAGAUAUUAUCUUUAUUCAGCACGGUCCCCAGCCCUCUUACUCCAGUUCACUUUCCAGAAACUCCAGAGCAAUGAGCUGGAAGUUUCUUUUCUUAACUCUUGCAAAACCUCCUGUAGUUAUUCGAGCACUGUGAGCCUCUGGAAGAUGACUGAUCAGCCCUUUGUGUUUUGUUUGGUUUUCUCAUCUCUUUCACGAAGCAAGAUCGUUUUUGCCAAUUCCUCUUAAGACAAGCAUAGGCUCAACCUUUGCGUUUAAGGGCUCACACAGCUGCUAUUGGUGUGCAAAAGCCAACAGUAUUAAAGUGACCUCAGUGCA